GACGAACGCUGGCGGCGUGCUUAACACAUGCAAGUCGAACGGAAAGGCCCUGCUUUUGUGGGGUGCUCGAGUGGCGAACGGGUGAGUAACACGUGAGUAACCUGCCCUUGACUUUGGGAUAACUUCAGGAAACUGGGGCUAAUACCGGAUAGGAGCUCCUGCUCCAUGGUGGGGGUUGGAAAGUUUCGGCGGUUGGGGAUGGACUCGCGGCUUAUCAGCUUGUUGGUGGGGUAGUGGCUUACCAAGGCUUUGACGGGUAGCCGGCCUGAGAGGGUGACCGGCCACAUUGGGACUGAGAUACGGACCAGACUCCUACGGGAGGCAGCAGUGGGGAAUAUUGCACAAUGGUCGGAAGCCUGAUGCAGCAACGCCGCGUGCGGGAUGACGGCCUUCGGGUUGUAAACCGCUUUCGCCUGUGACGAAGCGUGAGUGACGGUAAUGGGUAAAGAAGCACCGGCUAACUACGUG
rnacentral:rRNA from 1 species